ensembl:lncRNA
GUUUGUUUUUUGUCCUUUGUUUUUGAAUGUAGCUUGUCCUUCUGUAUUAUUGAUUACUCCUGUGUCUUGUUAACACCCUAUUUAUUCAGUUCGUUUUUCCAGUUUCAUUGUGAAGUGUUGUUUCUAUGUUAUGACUCUACUAAGCCAGUUGCUCUGCAAAACUUUUGGAUAGCCCUUACAUGUACCGAGUUCUUUCACCUGUUUUUUCCUACUAACGAUUAUUAGUCUUGUCCCUGCCUGUACUUUUGCCUGCUUUUCUGUUAUCGACCUUGCCUGUUACUGACCACGGGUUUUGCCUGUUCCUGGUCCUGUGAUUAAACCUAUGGUCUCUGUGCUUGGAACCACCACCUGCCUGUGUUGUACUCUUACAGCACACUCCUUGCAGGAGGCCAUUCAGUGAUUUCCCUCAGCAGCAUAGCUGUCGUGUGUUACAAAUAUUAGUAGGAAAAUAUGGCUAAUCUAUGGCUGAAGGACUCAAUGGCCGGCAUUCCAUAGACCAGCUCCCUGGCAUCAACAUGGGACAACCAACCCUGGUCUCUCCAAGCAUGAACAUGGGACAACCAGCCCUGGUCUCUCCUAGCAUCAACAUGGGACAACCAACCCUGGUCUCUCCUAGCAUGAACAUGGAACAACCAGCCCUGGUCUCUCCUAGCAUGAACCUGGGACAACCAACCCUGGUCUCCCUUGGCAUCAACAUGGGACAACCAACCCUGGUCUCUCCUAGCAUGAACAUGGGACAAACAACCCUGGCCUCCUUUAGUUCACAAUGAACAUCAGCAUGAGACUACGUGUGUGCGCGUGUGAUGUGGAAUGUGAUUCACAGAGACAUCUGCUCCACACCUACAUUUGCCAGACACAACCACCUUUACCAUAACAUGGUCAACCGGUGGGAUGACACGGUAUCCUGGGCAUGUAUCGACAGCUCAGGAAUGAGCCUGCAAUUCUGGACUAUGGAACGGUGCAGAGGGUAGCCAGUGAAUUCAUCAGGCACAUUUAAACCUAACAAGGGGCUGUGGUUAAUGAUUCAGUAUCAUGUCAUGAUUGGCUGUGUUCUUACCCUUCUUUUUAACACCACUGUUCUAUGUGAGAACGCAAGCUGCCAAACGAGCCUAAUCUGUCAUACAACUGAGAUGAUUUCCAGACAGUUAAGAACUUAAUUUGUCCUCAAAGUGCAGCUAAAUGCCUGUCACAUAUUGUCUCCAUAAGGACUUCACACUCUUAGGGGUGUGGUCUGGCCCAAGGGCAUUGGUGGUUUUGAAUUGAAGGUGCUGGCUUAGGCAAUUACUCACAGCAAAGAGUGUGAUCCCAAGUUUAUGUGCCAGUGAAAGGGGUGUGGAGGACAGGGAGAGAGUUUCUUAGGAUUGUUCUGAGCUGAAGGAAAACAUGUCAGAGAAAAGGGCAUAAAAACUGGAAAUGUACACAGACAUCACCGCACUGAGAUAUGGUGACACAUGAUUGUUGCUUAAUGGAUUACUCCCCUGUACAAUAAAUCAAAAUGUAAACACAGCUGUUGUCUUUCAGUCACUGGGUUAGGCUGUGCCAGGUCCUUAAAACCAAUGAUCAGUGUAAUCAAGGAUUGACAUUAAUGUAGUUUUAAAAUGCAACCGCCUUUUGCGCUUGUUUGGUCAAUUCUCAGUGUAACAUUGUGUUCCUGCCGCCCUGAACAUCCAUUAUAGAAGCCUAGUUCUGAGAUUCUCUAUAAUAUCAUGUGUGGUGACUUGCUAAGGGCUGUGAAACAUUAUUACAUGAAAAGUUUUUC